AUUGAACGCUGGCGGCAUGCCUUACACAUGCAAGUCGAACGGCAGCACGGGUGCUUGCACCUGGUGGCGAGUGGCGAACGGGUGAGUAAAGCAUCGGAACGUACCCAGUCGUGGGGGAUAACGUAGCGAAAGUUACGCUAAUACCGCAUACGUCCUGAGGGAGAGAGCGGGGGAUCGCAAGACCUCGCGCGAUUGGAGCGGCCGAUGUCGGAUUAGCUAGUUGGUGAGGUAAAGGCUCACCAAGGCGACGAUCCGUAGCUGGUCUGAGAGGAUGAUCAGCCACACUGGAACUGAGACACGGUCCAGGCUCCUACGGGAGGCAGCAGUGGGGAAUUUUGGACAAUGGGCGAAAGCCUGAUCCAGCCAUGCCGCGUGAGUGAAGAAGGCCUUCGGGUUGUAAAGCUCUUUCAGACGGGAAGAAAAUGUACGGGCUAAUACCCGGUGCAGAUGACGGUACCGUAAGAAGAAGCACCGGCUAACUACGUGCCAGCAGCCGCAGUAA
rnacentral:rRNA from 1 species